rnacentral:tRNA from 1 species
GAGGAUGUACCUCAGUGAUAGAGUGCUCGCCUAUCAUGUGUGAAGCCUGGGUUCAAUCCCCAGUAGUUCUCA